rnacentral:rRNA from 1 species
UACGUAGGGCGCAAGCGUUGUCCGGAAUUAUUGGGCGUAAAGAGCUCGUAGGCGGUUUGUCGCGUCUGCUGUGAAAACCUAAGGCUCAACCUUGGGCUUGCAGUGGGUACGGGCAGACUAGAGUGGCGGUAGGGGUGACUGGAAUUCCUGGUGAUAGCGGUGGAAUGCGCAGAUAUCAGGAGGAACGACCGGUGGGCGAAGGCG